CUACGGGAGGCAGCAGUGAGGAAUAUUGGUCAAUGGGCGCAAGCCUGAACCAGCCAUGCCGCGUGCAGGAUGACGGUCCUAUGGAUUGUAAACUGCUUUUGUACAGGAAGAAACACUGGUUCGUGAACCAGCUUGACGGUACUGUAAGAAUAAGGAUCGGCUAACUCCGUGCCAGCAGCCGCGGUAAUACGGAGGAUCCAAGCGUUAUCCGGAAUCAUUGGGUUUAAAGGGUCCGUAGGCGGUCAGAUAAGUCAGUGGUGAAAGCCCAUCGCUCAACGGUGGAACGGCCAUUGAUACUGUCUGACUUGAAUUAUUAGGAAGUAACUAGAAUAUGUAGUGUAGCGGUGAAAUGCUUAGAGAUUACAUGGAAUACCAAUUGCGAAGGCAGGUUACUACUAAUGGAUUGACGCUGAUGGACGAAAGCGUGGGUAGCGAACAGGAUUAGAUAUCCCUGGUAGUCCACGCCGUAAAUCGAUGGAUACUAGCUGUUGGGAGCAAUCUCAGUGGCUAAGCGAAA
rnacentral:rRNA from 1 species